UUUUUCAGUUUCCUCUAAUAUUUUACACUCACCAAAUCUUCCUCUUCCCCCGAACCAAAACCCUAAAACUUCAUCCCAAAUAAAGAAUCGUAAACACCAUAACCUCCUCAACCUCCCUCUUGCGCUAGAUUCGAACGGUCUGCGCGAUUGAGGAAGCCCUUGAAAUCCCACACGCCAAGGACGCGAAGGAGAGAGGAUGGUUGGCGUGGAGCGCCUCCCCGAGGUUCUCGAAGCUUGUAAGAGGAGGCUCAGUUCUACCUAAGUCACUUUGCUCGUCAAAUGAUGCCUCAAUCUCUUGAAGGAUAGCAGCUUCAAGGUCUCAUAGGGCACGCUUCAGGCGCUCGACUCCGCCGCCGUUCGAGCUGGCGACCACUUCAAGCUCCAAUUCAAUGUGUUCGCUUCCGUGGGAGAAUAGUGGAGGCACAAAAAGUAAGGAUCUAGAAAGCUUAAGAGUGAGAAGAAGAGAGAAUGCAAGCUGGAAAGCGUUGCAGUUCAAGUACGGAACAUGUGAAGUUACGGGGUUUGGUGGAGGUGUGUUUCUGGAGAAGACAAACUAAGCUCCAAGACAGGUUCAUCGUGCAAGAUUAAAUGGGCAAGAGGUUGUUGUUAAAGUGCAAAGGCUUGGUCUCAUAUCAUUUUGAUAUUCAUCUUAAAAAUCUGAGGGUUAGUGUCAUAUAAUGCUUGCAUUGUUGUGUGAAAAUGUAAUAUUACUCUUUGAUAAUUCUAUUACCUUCUCUUUAACUUAAUUUCCUACAUUUAAUUCCAAGAUUGACAUUUAAUUUCAA